rnacentral:rRNA from 1 species
UUGCGUAGGUGGACAAAUAAGUGAAUAGUGAAAGCUGAUGGCUCAACCAUUCAGAUUAUUAUUCAAACUGUUUGUCUCGAGAGUAGCAGAGGUAACUGGAAUUUCUUGUGUAGGAGUGAAAUCCGUAGAUAUAAGAAGGAACACCAAUGGCGUAGGCAGGUUACUGGGCUAUUUCUGACACUAAGGCACGAAAGCGUGGGAGGCAACG